rnacentral:rRNA from 1 species
GGGGUAAUGGCCUACCAAGGCGAUGACGGGUAGCUGGCGUGAGAGCGCGACCAGCCACACUGGGACUGAGACACGGCCCAGACUCCUACGGGAGGCAGCAGUGGGGAAUAUUGCGCAAUGGGCGAAAGCCUGACGCAGCGACGCCGCGUGGGGGAUGACGGCCUUCGGGUUGUAAACCUCUUUCAGUACAGACGAAGCGCAAGUGACGGUAUGUACAGAAGAAGCACCGGCCAACUACGUGCCAGCAGCCGCGGUAAUACGUAGGGUGCGAGCGUUGUCCGGAAUUAUUGGGCGUAAAGAGCUCGUAGGCGGCUUGUCGCGUCGGUUGUGAAAGCCCGGGGCUUAACCCCGGGUCUGCAGUCGAUACGGGCAGGCUAGAGUUCGGUAGGGGAGAUCGGAAUUCCUGGUGUAGCGGUGAAAUGCGCAGAUAUCAGGAGGAACACCGGUGGCGAAGGCGGAUCUCUGGGCCGAUACUGACGCUGAGGAGCGAAAGCGUGGGGAGCGAACAGGAUUAGAUACCCUGGUAGUCCACGCCGUAAACGGUGGGCACU